rnacentral:rRNA from 1 species
UACAGAGGGGGGCAAGCGUUUAUUCGGAAUUAUUGGGGCGUAAAGGGCGCGUAGGCGGCUUUUGCAAGUGACGGGGUGAAAAUCCCCUCGGCUUUAACCCGAGGAACUGCCCUGUCAAAACUGCAUGGCUUUGAGACCCGGGGAGAGGGUGAGUGGGAAAUUUCCCCGGUGUAGCGGGUGAAAUGCGUAGAGAUCAGGGCAGAACACCCUGGGGGCGAAAGGGCGGGCCCAGCUGGG